UGAGGAAUAUUGGUCAAUGGGCGAGAGCCUGAACCAGCCACGUCGCGUGAAGGAAGACUGACCUUACGGUUUGUAAACUUCUUUUGUAGAGGGGUAAUGGCAGAUACGUGUAUUUGCGUGAAAGUACUCUACGAAUAAGCAUCGGCUAACUCCGUGCCAGCAGCCGCGGUAAUACGGGGGAUGCGAGCGUUAUCCGGAAUUAUUGGGUUUAAAGGGUGCGCAGGUGGCUAAUCAGGUCAGUGGUGAAAAGCUAUGGCUCAACCAUGGUCUUGCCAUUGAAACCGUAUAGCUAGAGAGGAGACGAGGUAGGCGGAAUGUGUGGUGUAGCGGUGAAAUGCAUAGAUAUCACACAGAACUCCGAUUGCGAAGGCAGCUUACCAGGCAUUAUCUGACACUUAGGCACGACAGCGUGGGGAUCAAACAGG
rnacentral:rRNA from 1 species